GUGCUCACUUUGGCAGCACAUAUACUAAAAUUGAAAUGAUACAGAGAGUAGCAUGGCCCCUGCACAGGGAUGACCUGCAAAUCUGUGAAGUGUUCCAUGAAAAA
rnacentral:snRNA from 1 species